rnacentral:rRNA from 1 species
UAAAGUGAAUAGUGAAAUCUGGUGGCUCAACCAUACAGGCUAUUAUUCAAACCCACUGACUCGAGAAUGGUAGAGGUAACUGGAAUUUCUAGUGUAGGAGUGAAAUCCGUAGAUAUUGGAAGGAACACCGAUGGCGUAGGCAGUCUACUGGCUCAUUUCUGACACUAAGGCACGAAAGCGUGGGGAGCGAACGGGAUUAGAUACCCCGGUAGUCCACGCCGUAAACGAUGGAUGCUA